AGGAGGAAGAGAUGUUGUUGUUUACCUUGUAUUAUAGGAGGUGUUGUUGUUUACCUUGUAUUAUAGGAGGAAGAGAUGUUGUUGUUUACCUUGUAUUAUAGGAGGAAGAGGUGUUGUUGUUUACCUUGUAUUAUAGGAGGAAGAGGUGUUGUUGUUUACCUUGUAUUAUAGGAGGAAGAGAUGUUGUUGUUUACCUUGUAUUAUAGGAGGAAGAGGUGUUGUUGUUUACCUUGUAUUAUAGGAGGAAGAGGUGUUGUUGUUUACCUUGUAUUAUAGGAGGAAGAGAUGUUGUUGUUUACCUUGUAUUAUAGGAGGAAGAGAUGUUGUUGUUUACCUUGUAUUAUAGGAGAUGUUGUUGUUUACCUUGUAUUAUAGGAGGAAGAGAUGUUGUUGUUUACCUUAUAUUACAGGAGGAAGAGAUGUUGUUGUUUACCUUGUAUUAUAGGAGGAAGAGAUGUUGUUGUUUACCUUGUAUUAUAGGAGGAAGAGAUGUUGUUGUUUACCUUGUAUUAUAGGAGGAAGAGAUGUUGUUGUUUACCUUGUAUUAUAGGAGGAAGAGAUGUUGUUGUUUACCUUGUAUUAUAGGAGGAAGAGAUGUUGUUGUUUACCUUGUAUUAUAGGAGGAAGAGAUGUUGUUGUUUACCUUGUAUUAUAGGAGGAAGAGAUGUUGUUGUUUACCUUGUAUUAUAGGAGGAAGAGAUGUUGUUGUUUACCUUGUAUUAUAGGAGGAAGAGAUGUUGUUGUUUACCUUGUAUUAUAGGAGGAAGAGAUGUUGUUGUUUACCUUGUAUUAUAGGAGGAAGAGAUGUUGUUGUUUACCUUGUAUUAUAGGAGGAAGAGAUGUUGU